rnacentral:rRNA from 1 species
AGGUUGACCUCGGAUCAGGUAGGGAUACCCGCUGAACUUAAGCAUAUCAAUAAGCGGAGGAAAAGAAACCAACAGGGAUUGCCUCAGUAACGGCGAGUGAAGCGGCAACAGCUCAAAUUUGAAAUCUGGCUCUUUCAGGGUCCGAGUUGUAAUUUGUAGAAGAUGCUUCGGGUGUGGCUCCGGUCUAAGUUCCUUGGAACAGGACGUCAUAGAGGGUGAGAAUCCCGUAUGUGACAGGCUGCCUCCGCCCAUGUGAAGCUCUUUCGACGAGUCGAGUUGUUUGGGGAUGCAGCUCAAAAUGGGUGGUAAAUUUCAUCUAAAGCUAAAUAUUGGCCAGAGACCGAUAGCGCACAAGUAGAGUGAUCGAAAGAUGAAAAGCACUUUGGAAAGAGAGUUAAACAGUACGUGAAAUUGUUGAAAGGGAAGCGCUUGCAAUCAGACUUGCGCGCGGUCGAUCAUCCGGUGUUCUCACCGGUGCACUCGAUCGUGCUCAGGCCAGCAUCGGUUUCGGUGGUUGGAUAAAGGCCUUGGGAAUGUGGCUCCUUUCGGGGAGUGUUAUAGCCCUCGGUGCAAUGCAGCCUACCGGGACCGAGGACCGCGCUUCGGCUAGGAUGCUGGCGUAAUGGUUGUAAGCGACCCGUCUUGAAACACGGACCAAGGAGUCUAACAUCUAUGCGAGUGUUUGGGUGUCAAACCCAUACGCGUAAUGAAAGUGAACGGAGGUGAGAACCCUUAAGGGUGCAUCAUCGACCGAUCCUGAUGUCUUCGGAUGGAUUUGAGUAAGAGCAUAGCUGUUGGGACCCGAAAGAUGGUGAACUAUGCCUGAAUAGGGUGAAGCCAGAGGAAACUCUGGUGGAGGCUCGCAGCGGUUCUGACGUGCAAAUCGAUCGUCAAAUUUGGGUAUAGGGGCGAAAGACUAAUCGAAACCAUCUAGUAGCUGGUUCCUGCCGAAAGUUUUCCCUCAGGAUAGCCAGUGUUGA